CCUACGGGAGGCAGCAGUAGGGAAUCUUCCACAAUGGGCGAAAGCCUGAUGGAGCAACGCCGCGUGUGUGAAGAAGGUCUUCGGAUCGUAAAACCCUGUUGUUAGAGAAGAAAGUGCGUGAGCGUAACUGUUCCCGUUUCGACGGUAUCUAACCAGAAAGCCCCGGCUAACUACGUGCCAGCAGCCGCGGUAAUACGUAGGUGGCAAGCGUUAACCGGAUUUAUUGGGCGUAAAGGGAACGCAGGCGGUUUGUUAAGUCUGAUGUGAAAGCCUUCGGCUUAACCGGAGUAGUGCAUUGGAGACUGGGAGACUGGAGUGCAGAAGAGGAGAGUGGAACUCCAUGUGUAGCGGUGAAAUGCGUAGAUAUAUGGAAGAACACCAGUGGCGAAAGCGGCUCGCUGGGCUGUAACUGACGCUGAGGUUCGAAAGCGUGGGUAGCAAACAGGAUUAGAUACCCCUGUAGUC
rnacentral:rRNA from 1 species